UGAGGAAUUUUGCGCAAUGGGAGCAAUCCUGACGCAGCAACGCCGCGUGGGUGAUGAAGGCCUUCGGGUCGUAAAGCCCUGUCAGGUGGGAAGAAUGUCCCGGGACUGAACAGGUUCCGGGAGUGACGGUACCACCAGAGGAAGCACCGGCUAACUCCGUGCCAGCAGCCGCGGUAAUACGGAGGGUGCAAGCGAUAUUCGGAAUUACUGGGCGUAAAGCGCGUGUAGGCGGUCCUGCAAGUCUGAUGUGAAAGCCCCGGGCUUAACCCGGGAAGUGCAGUGGAAACUGUGGGACGUGAGUACUGUAGAGGAUGGGGGAAUUCCCGGUGUAGAGGUGAAAUUCGUAGAGAUCGGGAGGAAGAUCAGUGGCGAAGGCGCCCAUCUGGACGGUAACUGACGCUGAGACGCGAAAGCGUGGGGAGCAAACA
rnacentral:rRNA from 1 species